UACGGAGGGUGCGAGCGUUGUCCGGAAUCACUGGGCGUAAAGGGCGCGUAGGUGGCCUUCUAAGCGUGCGGUGAAAGCCUGGGGCUCAACCCCGGGUCGGCCGUGCGAACUGGGGGGCUUGAGCACUGUAGAGGCAGGCGGAAUUCCGGGUGUGAGCGGUGGAAUGCGUAGAGAUCCGGAAGAACACCGGUGGCGAAGGCGGCCUGCUGGGCAGUUUUGCUGACACUGAGGCGCGACAGCGUGGGGAGCAAACAGG
rnacentral:rRNA from 1 species